GCUGGGCGUGGUGAUGGGUGCCUGCAUUCCCAGCUACUUGGGAGGCUGAGGCAGGAGGAUCAUUUGAGGUCAGGAGUUCUGGGCUGAAGUGUGUUAGCUAUGCUGAUCUGGUGUCCACACUAAGUUCAGCAUCAAAUAUGUUGACCUCCCAGGAGCAGGUUGCCUAAAAGGAGGGGUGAACACGCCCAAGUUGGAAAUGGUGCAGUUCAAAACUCCUGUGCUGAUCAGUGGUGGGAUGACGCCUGUGAAUAGUCACUGUACUCCAGCCUGGGCAACAUAGUCAGACCCCAUCUCAA
rfam:Homo sapiens chromosome 20, GRCh38 reference primary assembly.